UUGGCCCGCCCCCCAAACCAGGAUUUUCCUAGUAACGGCGAGUGAACGGAAAUUAGCCCAGCACCGAAGCCUAUCCGUAUUUGUGGACAGGGCAAUGUGGUGUUUAAGCUUCAACCUGGAUGCGCUAGUCUACUCGAAGUCCAACUCCGAUUACGGCUUUGGAUUUAUGCCAUAGAGGGUGAAAGACCCGUUCGUGUAGACGUUACUGUUUCUUAGCGUGUCCCAGAUGUUGUUGCUUUAGAGUCGGAUUGCUUGAGAAUGCAGUCCAAAGUGGGUGGUAAACUCCAUCCAAGGCUAAAUACUGGCACGAGUCCGAUAGUAAACAAGUACCGUGAGGGAAAGUUGAAAAGUACUCUGAAGAGAGAGUAAACAGUACGUGAAGCUGCUUGCAUGGAAGCUGGUGGAGUCAAGCUUCUUAGGCUUGGAAUUGGUGCGGAGAAUAUAUAUUGUUUAUGGGCUAAGAGUGUAUCGGCUUGAAAAUGGCUGGAUAGGUUUACCUAUUUCAGGCGUUCCGGGUUGUACGCUUGUUGUGCAUUCUAAAUUUUGGCCCAUUCUCUUGUACUGUUUCCUUGUCUUAACAUCACAGUCGAUGCGUAUGUAUUGUUUGAUAUCUAACCUUGGCCGUUGUGAAUCUCGGUUCCUGGCCUGGAAUGGCAGUAUGAAUGUGCGGACUCGGUCUUCAUAUUUCUUAAUUGGUGUUAAACCUUGCCGAUUUUCUAUGUAUUAUAUAUUAAUCAUGCGUAUCGUUCUUACUAUUAUUGGUUACCGUAGGUUACUUUAAUAAGAGCUGUGGUGCCAGGUAGACUUCCACCGACCGCUGAAACCGGGACAAAA
rnacentral:rRNA from 1 species